GGCCGGCUGGCGUAAUGGUAACGCGUCCGUUUCCGGUUCACUGGAAAUCUAACUUGCGGAAGAUUUGCAGGUUCGAGUCCUGCGUCGGUCG